rnacentral:misc_RNA from 1 species
AAGUCGUAACAAGGUUUCCGUAGGUGAACCUGCGGAAGGAUCAUUAAUAAUAACCUGUUUGAGAAGUAAUUCUCUUACUAACAACACCUUGUGAACUAGUAACGUUCUUCGGAACGGCCUUUGGCGAUGCCUCGCAUUGUCAUUGGAUUAUUUUAUACCUUUGUAAUCUUUGUAGACUUAAAAAAACUAAUUUUAUACAACCUUUAACAAUGGAUCUCUUGGCUCCUGC